CGAAUCAUGGAUUGUCGAUUCCUUUAAUGCAGUUAUGGAUAUGAUCCUUUUGGCCUAGGCAAGAAGCCAGAAAACUUCAGCAAGUAUCCUCUCUCAUCUGUUUCUCUCUUGAGAAAUUAUUACUUAAUUUCUCCUUAAUUCAAUUUAAUUAAUUGAUGAAUGUGAAUGCAGAUACCAAGCAUAUGAGCUGAUCCACGCUCGGUGGGCCAUGCUUGGUGCAGCCGGAUUCAUCAUUCCAGAGGCCUUCAACAAAUUUGGAGCUAACUGCGGCCCUGAGGCUGUUUGGUUCAAGGUCAUUCAUUCGCAUUUCAUUUUCUUUUAAAUUUUACAAACAUACAUUACAUACAUACAUACAUAUUAUUGCAAGUUGAGUAAUUGCCAAUUGGAGUUAAGACGUUUGAAAAAUUGUUGACGCUUUUUGUACACAUGUUGACGACAUGAAUGCAGACAGGAGCUCUACUCCUUGAUGGGAACACACUGAAUUACUUUGGGAAGAACAUACCGAUUAAUCUUAUCUUCGCUGUUGUUGCUGAGGUUGUUCUUCUUGGUGGAGCUGAAUACUACAGAAUCACUAACGGUUUGGUACGUACCUAGAGUUAAUUAUAGCAUUGCUGUUAUUAUCCAAACUAACGACUCCGAAUACUAACAAAAGGUAUUACAACUUUUGAAAGUUUGUCCGACUGUUUUAUUUGUACAAUAUAACUAACCAUAUCGCAAUUCACACCGGAGUACGUACUUAUAUUACCACCUACUGUUAAUUUGAAACUUGCAAGAAGAACCAAUGACGACAAUCUCAUGACUGUGUUGCAGGAAUUGGAGGACAAGCUUCACCCAGGUGGUCCUUUUGACCCACUGGGGCUGGCUAAGGAUCCAGACCAGGCUGCAUUGCUAAAGGUGAAGGAGAUUAAGAACGGAAGACUUGCCAUGUUUUCCAUGCUCGGUUUCUUCCUCCAAGCGUAUGUCACCGGAGAAGGUCCUGUCGAAAACCUAUCAAAGCAUCUGAGCGAUCCCUUCGGCAACAACUUGCUUACUGUCAUUGGUGGAUCUAUCGAAAGAGCUCCAACCCUGUAAUUUUAAGUUUCCUCCUUAUUCUCCUCCAAUCAAAAUUAAAAGCAUUGUAUAUCAAAUUGAGUCCUUUUAAAGGCUUUUAACCUUGAUCCUUAAAUGGAAUUGCU
rnacentral:lncRNA from 1 species